rnacentral:rRNA from 1 species
AUUGAACGCUGGCGGCAGGCCUAACACAUGCAAGUCGAGCGGAUGAAGGUAGCUUGCUACCUGAUUCAGCGGCGGACGGGUGAGUAAUGCCUAGGAAUCUGCCUGGUAGUGGGGGACAACGUUUCGAAAGGAACGCUAAUACCGCAUACGUCCUACGGGAGAAAGUGGGGGAUCUUCGGACCUCACGCUAUCAGAUGAGCCUAGGUACGAUUAGCUAGUUGGUGAGGUAAAGGCUCACCAAGGCGACGAUCGUUAACUGGUCUGAGAGGAUGAUAAGUCACACUGGAACUGAGACACGGUCAAGACUCCUACGGGAGGCAGCAGUGGGGAAUAUUGGACAAUGGGCGAAAGCCUGAUCCUGCCAUGCCGCGUGUGUGAAGAAGGUCUUCGGAUUGUAAAGCACUUUAAGUUGGGAGGAAGGGCAGUAAGUUAAUACGUUGCUGUUUUGACGUUACCGACAGAAUAAGCACCGGCUAACUCUGCGCCAGCAGCCGCCGCAGUAA